GCCCCUUCCGUUGUAAACACCGACUGAGUGUCCUGCUGCGUUGCUGAGGGUUUGUGCGUGUGGGUUGCUGCUUACUCCCAGUAUGAUGUGCCUUCAGCGCUUCCAUCGUUGUGGCAUCGCAAUUUAAUUGAUCGGAGCACCAGCUGUUUCAGUCAACGAGCCUGUUAAAUGAUUCUCUGGUAUAUGUUGACGUGUAACUGGAUCGUACUCUCUGGUUUUCGUGGACUCUAAAGUGGGCUAAUUAAGUGAGCAGUCGCAUUAAACGGUGCGCUCUCCCUCUCCGUCACGCUCUCUCUCUCUCUUUGAAGCCACGCUGCUGCUUUCUCCACAUCGAUACGUUUAAGUCAAGCGUGUAUGCGGGCCUGAGGAUUAUUUGCU